UGCUGCUGGCUGAUGUUUGGAAGAACAGAGUGCCGAACAACUUCCCUCCUGGACCGUGGGCUCUGCCUUUUAUUGGUGAUCUGCAUCGCAUCCAACCUGCAAGACUUCAUCUGCAGUUCACAGAGUUGGCGCUGCUGUGCUGGAGACAUGGAGGAGGGUGUCUGCUGCAUGGUGUGUGUUCUGUUUGUGUUUUUCGUCCUGCUUACCGCUUGUCAGCGGUGAACUAAAUGCGCAGUGGAUAAAGUUCGUGCUUUGAACUGUGUGGAGGUCCGAAUGGGAGCCGCACCUGCUAGCAGUGGCAUGUCUCGUGCUGUCAAGCCGGAUAGCUCACUGCUUCGACAACGGGACUGUCUGCUCCGGGGGGCGAGUGUACAGCCGAACUGAACUGUUGGGUUUACUGGACCACGGAAUUCUGCCACCGCCAGGCCUGUUGGACGACGUGCUGGGAAGUUGCUGCGACGCUGCCGACCGAGUCGUCGCCGAGGCGGGAGGCUCAGGAAGCGUGGGAAGAGGGGCGGAGUGAGGCAACGCACCCGAGGAGUCACCAAGCUGCCUCCAAUGUUAUGAAAUCACUGGAGAAAACUGUUAUGCAGGAGCUUCAUAUGGAGGUGGAGCCACAUCUGGAUCAAUAUCAGUUUGCAUAGAAAAUGAACUGGAGUGCAAGUGAUGCCAUUUUAACUGUAAUACACCUGGUUUUAAUUAUAUACAUAAUGCUGAGUUUGCACAAUGCACUUUUGUUUGUUUUUAACCAACCGUGAUAAUGUAUUGUACUUUUAUUUUUAUUUAUUUUUUGUUCUGGAUGUUAUUUUCCCAAGAUGUUUAUUUUUAUCUGGCUGUUAUUUCAUUGUGUGAGUGGUAAGCCUAUGUGUUGUCUGUGCAGCAGAUCCCUCUUCUCCCAAGGGAGACCAAUAAAGACACCUUGACCUUGAAAA